UUUUUUCAUUUUGGUUAAACCGCAAUGUUAAAGGAGAAGAAGGAGGAGAAAUUGUGUUUGGUGGGAUUGAUUCCAAUCAUUACAAGGGUGAGCACACAUAUGUUCCAGUGACUCAAAAAGGUUAUUGGCAGUUCGAUAUGGGUGACGUAUUAGUUGGCAAUGAAUCAACAGGACUUUGUGGUAAUGGCUGUAAGGCAAUU
rnacentral:misc_RNA from 1 species